rnacentral:lncRNA from 10 species
AGAUUGUCAAGCCAGCUACCAGGAGGGUAACUGGAGUUUAAUGCCGUGGGGAAAUUUUGACACACCCUGCAAAAUGCACUCGGAGGGUUACUGCACCCCAAGGGCAGGAGAGCUGGAAAGUUUAUACAUCAAGUCAUUGGCUCACCAGGCAUUGGCUGGGGAUUCAGGAGUGGGUGCUUCAUCUGUUUCCCCCCAUCGCUUGGUAGAUGCAGCGUCCAGCAGUCAGAAACCCGGAAGUCGGCAGGAGCUCACUGCAGUCGUGGAGUUCCAAGGGAUGGUAGCGUACUGGGUCAGCUGCAGUCUGGUUACGACACUAAAUGCAAGUAACCAUGACCAAUUCUGAAAUAAGUAUUUGGUGGUUGUAAAAAAUGCAGAGGAUAAACUGGCUCACAGCUCCAGAUUAAAUGAGUAAUACUGGAAAGUGAUGAAGCGCUGAGAAGACAGAACAAGGUACACAGCACUGGAGAGAAGCAGAGCUAAGGAGGUGAAGUGUCUGUCUGUCUUGCUGAAAGCAGCUGGGAGUGGGAAAAAAUAGUCUUGUCCACUUUUGGCUAUCUCAAGAUGAACAUGGAGCUCUCCAGCAGAGGAAAUGUCUAGGAGGAUAAGGUGACAUCUAUCAAGUGAACCUACUAUGCGAACACAUCUGCUGAUAGGCCUGACCCAUUUCUAUCAUCUGAGAAUCUCAAGUAGCUUGUCCACCAGCCACAGGUUGUUAAACAUUGAUGGUGGAUACUGUAGAUGACCUUGCACUGUCCUUCAGAGAAACAUGAAUCUGAAUAUUCCCCAAUUUGGGAAUAUCUGGAGAUUUUUCAGGCUUAGAGAGGUUUUUUUUUUUUUUUAAUUUUUUUUUUUUUUUUUGGUUUGCAGGUCUUUUUAAAGUUGACCGUGCAUUAGGGCCAUAACAAAGCUAAGCUUUAGAACUAAACAGAGACUGAUUAUAUCUAGAGAAUUACAACCCAUUCUUAGAAGUAAAUUCUUUUUUUUUUGUUG